CGUUUUAAGAAAAAAAUUGCUAAGUUAAGAAAAAAUUUACGCUGUGCACUCGAUAAUUGACUUUCCUUUAAACGUGGACAUCGGUGUUCAAACGGUAAUUCAAACGCUAAACGCUACAUUUUAAAUACCAAAUAACGUAGUUUAACUAUUUCGCUCGUCGGUAAAUGCGAGUGCGGCGUCCUUUUAACCUAAUAACCAUUAAUUUAUAUUAAUACAGUAGGUAUUAUAAAACGGCGAGAUUAUAUGAUUUUUAGCAUCGGCUGUCUGCAACGGUGUGUAUAUC